rnacentral:lncRNA from 1 species
GCGAGCAGCUUCACACAAAGGAGCAGCUACGAAGAGUCAAGUUGGAAAAGUCACCGACUUGAGGCCAAGUGGAAAUGAGAAGCUCUGGCUGUGGCUGCCAGGGAACCCUGGGGGCAGGGCCACAAGGGGCUCCACCAGAAAUGGUCUCUUCAGAAUGAAGUGGCUUGAAGGAAGGCCAGCUCCCCAGAGCUGCUUUACCCUGGUCUCCUGCUCCCCACCACCUGUGUCUACUGCUAUCCAAGACAGAAAGACCCAAGACCCUUCAGGCACUACUUUCUUCCCGACUCAGGAUAGCAAAACAACAGAGGGAAAAUGGCAGCUGUGUACAGCCUUGAGUCCAGCUGGACCAUCAUGGUAGCUCUGGGGGUCCCAGCCAGAUGAACUGGGCUGGCCAGAUCAGAUGAGGCUCUGAAGGAGGAAGAAAUGCUCGAACAACAGCUAAAGCAGUUGCAACAACAGGACGAUCGCGGGGCAGGCGACACUUCCCAACAUCACCAAAGAUUGAUGCAAAUUGGUUUGGUUCUGACCCUGUCACACCAGGAAGGAUAAUGAUUCCAACAGCGACGGGCAAGGGAGGGGCACAUGGUGGGGGCCGCGAGGAUUGGUAUCUCACUUCACAUCUUCAUUAAUGAUCUGAAAGACAGGGGUAAACAGCAUGCUAAUGAAACCUGCAGAUGAUUGGUGUUACAAACCCCAGAGAGGACAGGGAAAUAGCACGCCAGACCCAGAGAGCUUAGAAAUAUGGGCCGGAGAUUGUCAAAUGAGAUUCGUCCUAGGAAAAUGAAAGCGGACAUGUCAGGGAGGAAAGAUGGAGGUGCCCCUGGGCAGGGGGGCCUGUGAACCUGGAAAGCAGAUGGGUGGCAGGGUCAGGAGGUUGAGUAAGGGAUAAGGUUUAGGGUGUGUGUCAUUAGCCUAUGUCAGCUCUUGGACCCCUCUGCAAGGCUGGGCCUUUGCCUUCUCAGCAAUGAGCCAUGCCUAUUUGCUAUUAAGCAAAAAAAAUGCCACUUUGACCCAUUUUACUAAAAUGAAAUGCAAGACACAUUUAAUAUUUUUUACCCUCAAUUAUUGGGGAUGGUAUAUUCAAGAGCAGAAGAAAGAAAAAUUUCCCCAUCUUCAGUGACUUCCCAUCCAAUAAACCUUUCUUGGAGGUAUAACUCUUUCAUACAAAGUACACAGAUCUUAAGUGAACAGUUCAGUGAUUAUUUUUUUCCUUGAGCAAAUCUGGCUUCACCUUGCCUCGCCUCGGUUUCCUCAUCUGAACGAGUAGAGCAGCAGUACCUAUUUCAAUAGGUACUAUGCUGUGAGAAUUAGAUGAGAUGGAAUAGUGAAGUCCCAGAACAUAGUAAGCACUCAGAUGUAGAUCAAUAUUACUGUUUAUUACCCUACAAUUUAUCCCCUAAGUAUAUAAUUACCUUCUUA